GGGAAGGAGCACUUUUGAACUUACAGCAACUUCCAUAUGGUGGCGAGAUUGGACAAGAUAUCUACCUCAGACUUGCUGCUGAUGAGUAUCCAGAUCCAAGUACCAAAGGAAAAAAAUGGGAAGUAUGGGUAGCUGUGCUGCUCCCUACAACAGGGCUUAUCUUAUGCCUCUCAAUUUGCUUUUCAUGCAAGGAAAGGAUCAAACGAAAAGAUCAAACAGGAGAGAGCCCAUCAAGUAAUAAUCUACUAUUAUUUGAUUUUG